GGGAUGGUGGCGCAGAUAGCUAGCGCGUAGGUCUCAUAGCAGAAGAGUAAUCCUGAGGUCGGGAGUUCGAACCUCUCUCACCCCA
rnacentral:tRNA from 1 species